UACAAAAGUUUUUACAAUUUUUCGUACUACUUCAACAGCUUGUGAAGAAUCUCACUUCCUCGGAAUAUGCAGAGAACAUAAGACUUACGAUUGAUGAAAACAGUACAAAAGAUGGCCCUCAAGAUUAUGGCGGGCAAUUUUACAUAAAGGACAGCCACGGAACAGCUCACAUUUCAGUUCUUGGACCCAAUGGAGAUGCUAUAUCUGUAACCAGUUCAGUUAACUUCUAUUUUGGGGCUGCAAUGACUGGUAAUCGAACAGGCAUCAUUGUCAACAGUGGGAUGGAUGAUUUUUCUUCGCCGGGAUUAUUGAAUUAUUUUGGACUACCGGGGUCGGAGCGAAAUUAUAUUCAGCCACAGAAAAGAGCCCUUUCCUCGAUGGCACCAACGAUUGUUGUAGGUAUGAUGGCACGGAUUAUCUGUGAUAAAAUGGGAAAGACGGAAAUGUCAAAUUGGUAGUUGGAGCAGCUGGGGGUACAAAAAUAACAACGGCAGUUGCAAUGAUAAUUAUCAAAAUGUUGUGGUUCAAUAACGACAUUAAAGAAGCUGUUGACACCCCUCGCAUACAUCACCAGUUGAUUCCAAUGGCGCUACAAUACGAAUUUGGAAAUUUGGACGGAGUUCUGCAAGGGUUAGAAUCAAAGGGUCACAAAACCUUUAGGUAUCGUGAAAGAGGGUCCAUAGUUUGUGGUAUCGCGCAGAAUGGUACUGGAAUAUAUGCCAAUGCAGAUUUCCGUAAAGGAGGCGAAGUUGUUGGGUUUUGAUAAAAUGAGUUUCGAAAAUAUGCGUAAAUUUAAGGUAGACUAAUUUAAAUCUGACUUAAAGGUUAUAACACAGACAACAGACGUUUUGGCUCGAUAACCACCUUGUGUAAAAACAGGGGGGCGACAUCUAUAUCUCACUACAGGCAGCUCGCCCGUAGCCAUCACAAGCUGUCAACUUCGGCACCAGAACAAAAUGUAGCUGUCAACUUAGGCACCAGAAAAAAGAAAAGCUGUUCGUUGCGGAACCAAAACAAAGCAAAUCCGCACUGUAAAAAAAGUACAAAAACUGCAGGCAUAAAAUGGAAAUAAAGUGAUUAUUGUUUUAAGUACAAUUUUACCGCAAUGUACGUUUAAAAGUUAGUGUAUGUUUUUGAAGUGAUUUUUAUCAAUUUAUUUGCAAAAUAAACUACUAAAGUUAAGAUUAUUAAGCACACAUCGGGCCAAUGACCUAAUUUAAAGUUGUACUUUUAUCACAUGAAACGUUUUAUUUAACUACUGUGUAAUUUGAGUUUUUCUACAGCAAUUCUUAUAACAAAUAAUGAAUUAUUAAUAAAACAAUACUUUUGUUUUCACUGUGUGCAGUUUGCGCGCGUUAUUAAUCUCAACCAGCCAAGAUGGCGGCCUUUAGCAUCCCCCUGUGUAAAAACAUGCAACGGUUUUAUUGAGAAUGGCAAGCCAUUUGUGGCGCUGUCGUCGCAGAGGAGAUUUGACAACUCUCUCGCCCUGCUCUUAAGUGUAAACUACAACAUUGAAAAGCACGUGAUUGGCCGUAUUCUCACUCUCAUCAAAAGUUUGAUGCCUCUUUUCGUCCAGAAAAUUGGUAUGUUGAUCAAAAAUAGUUUUGAAAUGUCGAAAGUAAUUAUUUUGAGUAUCGCUUCAGAUAAAAGUUAGUUAAUUUCAGAGCAUAAAAUUAAAUUUAUUUAAAAAGAAAACUAUGUAUCAUCAAAAUUAAGUUGGUGAGAAUCAGAAGACGGCUCCUGCGGAGACUGUAGUGCACUGCAGUCUACAUUCAGGCUUAUUCUUGCAAGUAGCAAUAGACUACGAGAUUGCGUUAGUGUUUUUACACACGAUUUUCAAAUUAUGUUGUUCUAGCUGCUACGUCUGUUGUCUGUGGUUAUAAGACUUAACUUUAAAAAAAAAUAUGAUUACAUUGUAUUAUGUUCUGAAACCAUCAUAGCCUGAGCAAUUUAAUUUAGCGAGAAAACCAUAACACUUUUUUU